AAUACAAGCAUUAUGUCCCCUAAGAAUGUAGAUCAUCAUUUGUUGCAGGCCUCUUUUGGAGUUUCAUCCCCGGGAAGGAUGUCGCCUAGAAGCACUGAGCCACUAUCCCCAAUGGGAUCUAGGUUCUCUGCCUUUGUACAGCGUGAAAAGCAACAACACCUCCGGACUCUCAGUUCAAGGGAGCUGGGAUCUAAUGUCCCAAGCUCAUUGAUCGGAUCUCCUGUCAGUUCUUUGCCUAAAUGGGGGUCCCCCAAUGGAAAGGUAGAUUGGUCGGUUGGUAAGAAUGAACUGGGUCAACUGCGAAGAUCAUCUUCUUUCGAAAUGGGAAAU
rnacentral:misc_RNA from 1 species